AUGAGCAGAUCGAAAGGGGACGCUGGGCCUUGUCUUCGGGAACAACAGCCUGGCCCUCCCCGGGGGAGCGAGCAAAGCGCGGCGGCGGCGCCGAGGCGGGUCGGGAGCCGGGCCAGCGGGGUUCGCGCCGGGUUAGAUCAACUUUCUGCCGCAGCUCUCCGCCCUGCCGCCGGGGCGCCGGCUGCCGGGGUGAGCGUAGAGGCUGCGCGUCCAGGGGCGNNNNNNNNNNNNNNNNNNNNNNNNNNNNNNNNNNNNNNNNNNNNNNNNNNNNNNNNNNNNNNNNNNNNNNNNNNNNNNNNNNNNNNNNNNNNNNNNNNNGUCCAGGGGCGCAGGGUGGGCGGUACGGGGUUGCGGGCGGGGGGGCGGAGGGGGAAGGGCGGGGGUGGACCCGGGUCGCGCAGGCGCCUUCCUCGCCCCCUCGGCUCCCCCGCCCCAUCGCUCCAGAGUUCGGGAGGGCGGCUGGGGGAGGGGGAUGACCCGCGCUGGAGCCGAGGGAGGACGCGAGGCAGACACAAAGCCCUUCCCUCUCCUGCCUCCUCUUCCUCCGCCAACAGCGCCUCCCGGGCGGGGAAAGUCAGCCCGGCGCCGGUCCGCGGGGCUCGGGUCGCGCCCCUCUCCGAGACCUGCGGGGAGGGCCUGCGCGAGGAGCCUGUCGAUGGAAUCCUGAGGGCUGACCAUCCUGGGAGUCCUGAUGAAGAAAGGACCUGCGGACUUCUGACCUUCCACUGGGGAAGAUACCCAUUCAAGCCCUUUCAGGAUGGUGAGCAGGUGGAGGCUGGACUGAGAGAUGCUGGCUUGAAGGGCUUGGUCACUGGAAAAGGACAUGGCAACUGACUCUUGUUCUUGCCUGGAGAACUCCGUGGACAGAGGAGCCUGGCGGGGUCCGUGAGGUUGCAAAGAGUUGGACACGACUGAGCCUGCACUCACAAGCUUGUUCAGGUUUUCUUAAUAACUAAUUUGAAUUCGUAAUUAUCCAUGGAGCACCAAUAAAGAAACUCAUAAUCUGUGCCCACAUAGAUUCAUAUAUAUAAUAUAUUUUAAUACAUAUUUUCUAGUCAUGUUAUGAUUCUAUUUUUGCAAUUUCAGUGUUUUGUUUUGGGAGUGUUUUUUUUUUUUGGCCAUCCCUUGUGGCAUGCAGGAUCUUAGUUCCCUGACCAGGGAUUGAACCCACGCCCUCUGCAGUGGAAGCCCUAACCACAGGACCCCCAGGGAAGUCCUCAUGUGGAUACUUAAUUGCUCUCACUUUAAGUCUGAGCUCUGUGUCUCUCUUCAGAACCAGCGAUUUCAGUGUCUCCAGCGAUUCCCGUUGUUCCAGUGUGAUUGAUCCCGGUGGCUUUGAGGUUCCCUGUUUGUUUAUUUUUUACUUCCUUGUUGAUUGGAUUCUAAGGAGCCCCACUGUCACUCCUUCAUUUUACAUUUCUAGAGUCCUCAUUAUUGGAAAAUUAAAUGAUGCCACUUGAGAGAAGGCUUAAAUGAGGCAAGAAGUCUCACCACAAAGAAAAAGUGCACUUUGAGCGAAAGUUAAUAUGAAAAGUUUUCUACUAUUCAACAAAAGUUAAUGAAGGUAUCUAAAGGACUAUUUGAGAUUGACAAAUAUUGUAUUGGCUUCUUAUUUUCUUAUAACAAGUACCAGCUUCACUAAAAAGAACUCAUUUGUUUUUAUAUAACUACAUUAUGCACUGUACUAGUUCAGUUUUGCUGUAACUAAUUUUAUUAGGCUUUGUUUUGAAAUUUGCCUUUUUUUUUCUUCUUCCUUGGACUUUUAAAAGCAGAAGUCACAGUGACAUGCUCAGUGUGGCAUUUGCUGAUGCAUGAGAGUGCGUGUGGUUUUAAUUUCUGGUUGUUUUUUCUCCCUCAACUUUUUCCUCUAGUUAAUGUGAAUCACAUUGUAUUUUCCACUCCUGGACACUGAUUCAUAGCCAUCCACUUCCUCCCGAGUUCAGCAGACCACCGGGUCCUCUGGGAAAUGGAUUAGUCACAGCCCAGCCAGGCACCUUGCGUGCCAUAGUUGGUAUUAGCUCCAGCAGCCGUGCGUUUAGCAGGAAGAUGAAAACUGCUGCACCAUCUUCCUUUGGAGAAGGAAUAAGGCCUCAGUUUGGGGGGGUCUGUAUGGCCUGUCACACUGCUUGGAUUAAUCUCUACAAUACAGCACGCAGGCAGAUUAGAAAGACAGAGGUCUCAUUAGGUUCAGAAGCUUUUCAGGCGCCCUUCUGCCCUGAGGAAACAGAGAUGUGAUCAGGGCCCCAUCCCUGGGGCACAUGUGUAGUGUUUGUGAAUAGGCUGAAUCUUAAUAUAUGGAUGCAAUUUUGAAAAACUUGGAACAGAUUUAUUUAUGUCCAACAUGUUUUUAUCAAAUUCACUUGAGUCUAAUUUCAGAAAAUUUCAAGGCCAGGGAUUUUUCUUCAUAGGCCAGACUUAUAAAGACAUUCCCAAGGUCAUGCCUUAAUUAUAUCAGUAAUUGUUGCUAGGUUUCAACUUACAUUUAGCAACAUUGAUUGACAGCCUUGACCUAAGGCACUUAAUACAGCCUGACCUAAGGGUGUUAUGGCUGUGACCUCUACAAUUGGGAAAGCUGUUUAAUUUUUCUGUUCUGAGUGAAGCCUCUUCGAGUUUAAGAGACUAGAGCAACUGAAGAGCAGGGUCCCAUGGUUAAGCAGUUUGAUAAACUGAACAGGGUAUCAGAAGAUCAUGUUCUGGUCUGAGCCCCAGGUGGCUUUGGGGAGCUGUGUUUGCACCUGAUUAUUUCUUUCAGUCUGUUAGCAUAUGUGCCAGGAGGCAGAAAGGCCAACCCCUAACAGUGCUCCCAGGUGAGGGCUGGGUGUGGUGGCCCUGUGGUCAGAACUGGGUCACACAAACAGAAAGCCUGAGCAAAUAUUAGAUGAACGUACAGGAAAUACAAGUCCUUAACCUUCUCAGUGAGAAGGAUCACCAGCUGUGUUUCCCUGGGAUGUCGGAGCUCUCGUCUGGAGAUUUGGCUUCUGUCUGUCCUGUUGAUGAUCUGGAGCCUGGGGAAUCCAGAACACG
ensembl:lncRNA